GUACACUCCUGCGGGAGGCAGCAGUGGGGAAUAUUGCACAAUGGGCGGAAGCCUGAUGCAGCAACGCCGCGUGCGGGAUGACGGCCUUCGGGUUGUAAACCGCUUUCGCCUGUGACGAAGCGUGAGUGACGGUAAUGGGUAAAGAAGCACCGGCUAACUACGUGCCAGCAGCCGCGGUGAUACGUAGGGUGCGAGCGUUGUCCGGAUUUAUUGGGCGUAAAGGGCUCGUAGGUGGUUGAUCGCGUCGGAAGUGUAAUCUUGGGGCUUAACCCUGAGCGUGCUUUCGAUACGGGUUGACUUGAGGAAGGUAGGGGAGAAUGGAAUUCCUGGUGGAGCGGUGGAAUGCGCAGAUAUCAGGAGGAACACCAGUGGCGAAGGCGGUUCUCUGGGCCUUUCCUGACGCUGAGGAGCGAAAGCGUGGGGAGCGAACAGGCUUAGAUACCCGAGUAGUCCCAUGA
rnacentral:rRNA from 1 species